rnacentral:rRNA from 1 species
UUUCGAAUCAUUCACAAUGGGCGAAAGCCUGAUGGUGCAACGCCGCGUGGGGGACGAAGGUCUUCGGAUUGUAAACCCCUGUCAUUGAGGAACAAAACCCGGACUCAUACUCCGGCUUGAGUUAACUCAAAGAGGAAGUAGUGGCAAACUCCGUGCCAGCAGCCGCGGUAAUACGGAGACUACGAGCGUUACUCGGAUUCACUGGGCGUAAAGGGUGCGCAGGCGGCCGAAUGUGUUGGGUGUGAAAUCCUGGGGCUUAACUCCAGGGCUGCGCUCAAAACUGUUCGGCUAGAGUCUCGGAGAGGUAAGCGGAAUUCCUAGUGUAGCAGUGAAAUGCGUAGAUAUUAGGAGGAACACCAAAGGCGAAGGCAGCUUACUGGACGAGUACUGACGCUCAUGCACGAAAGCGUGGGGAGCAAAAAGG